UCCUCUGUAGCUCAACGGUAGAGCGGCUCCCUGUUAAGGAGAAGGUUGUAGGUUCGAAUCCUACCGGAGGAG
rnacentral:tRNA from 5 species